rfam:Gossypium arboreum cultivar AKA8401 contig_17107_1, whole genome shotgun sequence.
UGUUAAAAAUUUCAUUCACGUCUACUAUUAAAAACUAACAUGAUUGAUAGAAUAACCAAACAAUGAGAUGAGGUAUGCCACAUGUACCUAAUGCUAACAUAUAAGAAUCAAUUUUUAACAGUAAAAAUGGAUAAAAUUAUUAACG